rnacentral:misc_RNA from 1 species
GGCUCCAUUAAAGCUUUGUCAAAGAUCUGCGAGAUAACACCAGUAAGUGUGGCAGUAUUGUCUAUGUUAACUGCUUUCACUUGCUCAAAAAGUUUUUCAAAAUUCUGCGGAGUUAGCUUGUUCAAGAUAGCUUUCAACUGCCUUUGUUUGGCCUCUUCUUCAUCUGCCACUUUACCCACUACUUCGUACUUUUUCUCAGCCUUGUGCAUCAUCUGCAAUGGAGUCUGAGGAGAAGGAAUCAAUCCCUUUUGUUGGAAAUUCGUAGCACGCUGCCACCUAUCAGCAUCUGGGCUAUUUCUUUGCAUAGCUCCCUGAGGACCCAUUGACUGCACAGGCCCGGAUAGGAUACCUCCCACAUAUUGAGGACUCUGUGCUCGUGGAUUCCUUAGAACACCAUAAUUUGCUCCUUGGCCAGGUCGAAAUCNNNNNNNNNNAACCAAUAUCCACACGUAAAUCCCUCCCCAUGCCAAAGGGACCAGGUAGUUUACUCCAUCGAUCAUCAUCAGCCAUACCACUUCCACGACGGUCCAUCCGAGAUCCACUAUUUGACCUGUCAAUGACUCUUACAGGACUAGGAUAUGAAUCCCGUUCAACAAAAUGAGAAAGACUAAGAGCCUCUGCAAUAUCAGAUGAAAUUUCAAAAUGUUCAGGAAGAUCAGUAUAUUGCUCAGAAAAUUUCAGAAGGAAGUCUCUGGAAUACUUUUUUUGCUGUAUUAGCAUUCUCAAUUCUGCCAUGUUGCAUUAACCCACCAAGUGCCUGCUCCCCAUUAUCUGAAGUUUCCAGUUUUGGUGUAGAGAUGUCAGCAGCAUCUUCCCAAUCAUCCGGCUCAGCUUUAUUCUGGAUGCCUGUCUCACUUGUCAUGGAAUCCACUUCAAGUGUGUCCACAGGUGCCUGCUUCACAUUAGAGCUAGUAGAGGUGUUUUCCAUUGCUUCUGCAGAAGCAACACUUUCUUUCUUUUCUUCUGGACCUUUAUAUGCCAUAUAAAGAUCAGAAGUUG